rnacentral:rRNA from 1 species
GAGUUUGAUCUUGGCUCAGGACGAACGCUGGCGGCGUGGAUUAGGCAUGCAAGUCGAGCGACGGUUUCCUUUCGGGGAAAUACGGAGCGGCGAACGGGUGAGUAACGCGUGAACAACCUGUCCCUUUGUUCCGGAUAAUUGGGAGAAAUCCCUUGUAAUACGGGCGAGGACGAUUCUUUGGCAUCUUAGGAUCGGGAAACACGAAAGUGGCAUGGGGAGGGGUUCGCGACCUAUCAGGUAGUUGGUGUGGUAACGGCACACCAAGCCUACGACGGGUAGCUGGUCUGAGAGGAUGGUCAGCCACAUUGGAACUGAGACACUGUCCAGACUCCUACGGGAGGCUGCAGUCGAGAAUCUUGGGCAAUGCACGAAAGUGUGACCCAGCGACGCCGCGUGAAGGAUGAAGGCCCUCUGGGUUGUAAACUUCUUUUAAGGGGAAAGAAUGGCC